UGCCAGCAGCCGCGGUAAUACGUAGGGUGCAAGCAUUAAUCGGAAUUAUUGGGCGUAAAGGGCGCGUAGGCGGAUUGAUAAGUCAGAUGUGAAAUACCAAAGCUCAACUUUGGUGCUGCAUUUGAAACUGUUUUUCUAGAGGAUUGACGGAGAAAGGGGAAUUCCACGAGUAGCGGUGAAAUGCGUAGAUACGUGGAGGAACACCGGUGGCGAAGGCGCCUUUCUAGUUUAGACCUGACGCUGAGGCGCGAGAGCAAGGGGAGCAAACAGGAUUAGAUACCCUGGUAGUCCUUGUCGUAAACGAUGUGUACUUGAUGGAGUUAGGCUCAACCCUGACUGUGUCGUAGCUAACGCGAUAAGUACACCGCCUGAGGAGUACGCUCGCAAGGGUGAAACUCAAAAGAAUUGACGGGGGCCCGCACAAG
rnacentral:rRNA from 1 species